GGGGGAGACCGAGCGCCGGAGUCGAGAACCGGCCGACCGUGGAGGAAGCUUUAAAGCUCUUCCUUCCUUCAAGAAGAUCCCCACAAAUCGAGUGAAGAAGCUUGGGGAUCCGAGGGUCUUCCUCCUCCGAUUUUCCGCCAGAAAGGUCGCCGGAACACCCCCACCGGAUCGAGGUAAGCAUGGUUCCUUCCUUUGUGUUUUAUUUCCUGGAUUUGGGGCGGCGUGGGUGAAGUUUUUGGCCGGUGAGAUCGCCGGAGAAGAGUUCGAAAUAGGGAACCCCUGUUUCGGCUUCUCUUUUUCGGAUCUUGUAGCCGCCGCCGGCCGCCGGGUUGGCCGGAUCCAUGGAAGCUGGGUUGAAUCGGGACUGUGGGAGGUUUUGAUGAGGAAUUUCUAGGGUUAACUGAAGAUGGGAAGUGUGGAUCCGAGGCUUUCUCCCUCGUGAUCCCAUCCCCUUUCCCUCUUCCUCUCGUCGGUUGGCCGCCGACCGGUGACGACGGUGAGAGCCACUGUGGCUG
rnacentral:lncRNA from 1 species